rnacentral:rRNA from 1 species
AGAGUUUGAUCAUGGCUCAGGACGAACGCUGGCGGCGUGCUUAACACAUGCAAGUCGAACGGAAAGGCCCUGCUUUUGUGGGGUGCUCGAGUGGCGAACGGGUGAGUAACACGUGAGUAACCUGCCCUUGACUUUGGGAUAACUUCAGGAAACUGGGGCUAAUACCGGAUAGGAGCUCCUGCUGCAUGGUGGGGGUUGGAAAGUUUCGGCGGUUGGGGAUGGACUCGCGGCUUAUCAGCUUGUUGGUGGGGUAGUGGCUUACCAAGGCUUUGACGGGUAGCCGGCCUGAGAGGGUGACCGGCCACAUUGGGACUGAGAUACGGCCCAGACUCCUACGGGAGGCAGC